rnacentral:tRNA from 1 species
GCCCCGGUGGUGGAAUUGGUAGACACGCGGGACUUAAAAUCCCGUGCCUUCGCGGGCGUACGGGUUCAAGUCCCGUCUGGGGUA